rnacentral:rRNA from 1 species
UACAGAGGUGGCAAGCGUUGUUCGGAAUUACUGGGCGUAAAGGGCGCGUAGGCGGCCCACUAAGUCAGACGUGAAAUCCCCCGGCUUAACCUGGGAACUGCGUCUGAUACUGGAUGGCUUGAGUGUGGGAGAGGGAUGCGGAAUUCCAGGUGUAGCGGUGAAAUGCGUAGAUAUCUGGAGGAACACCGGUGGCGAAGGCGGCAUCCUGGACCAUUACUGACACUGAAAAGCGAAAGCCAGGGGAGCAAACGGG